rnacentral:rRNA from 1 species
AUUGAACGCUGGCGGCAUGCCUAACACAUGCAAGUCGAACGGAAACGAUGGGAGCUUGCUCCCAGGCGUCGAGUGGCGGACGGGUGAGUAAUGCUUAGGAAUCUGCCCAGUAGUGGGGGACAACCAGAAGAAAUUCUGGCUAAUACCGCAUACGCACUACGGUGGAAAGUGGGGGACCUUCGGGCCUCACGCUAUUGGAUGAGCCUAAGUCGGAUUAGCUUGUUGGUAGGGUAAUGGCCUACCAAGGCGACGAUCCGUAGCUGGUCUGAGAGGACGAUCAGCCACACUGGGACUGAGACACGGCCCAGACUCCUACGGGAGGCAGCAGUGGGGAAUAUUGGACAAUGGGCGCAAGCCUGAUCCAGCAAUGCCGCGUGUGUGAAGAAGGCCUGCGGGUUGUAAAGCACUUUCAGUAGAGAAGAAAAGCCUAGGGUUAAUAACCCUGAGUCUUGACGUAACCUACAGAAGAAGCACCGGCUAACUCCGUG